AUACGUAGGUGACAAGCGUUAUCCGGAUUUACUGGGCGUAAAGGGCGCGUAGGCGGCCCGGUAAGUCUGGAGUGAAAGUCCUGUUUUUAAGAUGGGAAUUGCUUUGGAUACUGUCGGGCUUGAGUGCAGGAGAGGUAAGUGGAAUUCCCAGUGUAGCGGUGAAAUGCGUAGAGAUUGGGAGGAACACCAGUGGCGAAGGCGGGUAACUGGACUGCAACUGACGCUGAGGCGCGAAAGUGUGGGGAGCAAACAGGAUUAGAUACCCUGGUAGUCCACACUGUAAACGAUGAAUGCUAGGUGUAAGAGGUAUCGACCCCUUUUGUGCCGGAGUCAACACAAUAAGCAUUCCGCCUGGGGAGUACGGCCGCAAGGUUGAAACUCAAAGGAAUUGGCGGGG
rnacentral:rRNA from 1 species